rnacentral:rRNA from 1 species
GCAUAUCAAUAAGCGGAGGAAAAGAAACCAACAGGGAUUGCCCUAGUAACGGCGAGUGAAGCGGCAACAGCUCAAAUUUGAAAUCUGGCUCUCGGGCCCGAGUUGUAAUUUGUAGAGGAUGCUUUUGAUGCGGUGCCUUCCGAGUUCCCUGGAACGGGACGCCAUAGAGGGUGAGAGCCCCGUCUGGUUGGAUGCCAAAUCUCUGUAAAGCUCCUUCGACGAGUCGAGUAGUUUGGGAAUGCUGCUCUAAAUGGGAGGUAUAUGUCUUCUAAAGCUAAAUACCGGCCAGAGACCGAUAGCGCACAAGUAGAGUGAUCGAAAGAUGAAAAGCACUUUGAAAAGAGAGUUAAAAAGUACGUGAAAUUGUUGAAAGGGAAGCGUUUAUGACCAGACUUGGGCUUGGUUAAUCAUCUGGGGUUCUCCCCAGUGCACUUUUCCAGUCCAGGCCAGCAUCAGUUUUCGCCGGGGGAUAAAGGCUUCGGGAAUGUGGCUCUCUCCGGAGAGUGUUAUAGCCCGUUGCGUAAUACCCUGGCGGGGACUGAGGUUCGCGCAUCUGCAAGGAUGCUGGCGUAAUGGUCAUCAACGACCCGUCUUGAAACACGGACCAAGGAGUCGUCUUCGUAUGCGAGUGUUCGGGUGUCAAACCCCUACGCGUAAUGAAAGUGAACGCAGGUGAGAGCUUCGGCGCAUCAUCGACCGAUCCUGAUGUUCUCGGAUGGAUUUGAGUAAGAGCAUACGGGGCCGGACCCGAAAGAAGGUGAACUAUGCCUGUGUAGGGUGAAGCCAGAGGAAACUCUGGUGGAGGCUCGCAGCGGUUCUGACGUGCAAAUCGAUCGUCAAACAUGGGCAUGGGGGCGAAAGACUAAUCGAACCUUCUAGUAGCUGGUUUCCGCCGA